rnacentral:rRNA from 1 species
CGGCGAUGUCCGAAUGGGGAAACCCAGUGCAAUUCGUUGCACUAUCGUUAACUGAAUACAUAGGUUAACGAGGCGAACCGGGGGAACUGAAACAUCUAAGUACCCCGAGGAAAAGAAAUCAACCGAGAUUCCCCCAGUAGCGGCGAGCGAACGGGGAGCAGCCCAGAGUCUGAAUCAGCUUGUGUGUUAGUGGAACGGUCUGGAAAGUCCGACGGUACAGGGUGAUAGUCCCGUACACCAAAAUGCACAGGCUGUGAACUCGAAGAGUAGGGCGGGACACGUGGUAUCCUGUCUGAAUAUGGGGGGACCAUCCUCCAAGGCUAAAUACUCCUGACUGACCGAUAGUGAACCAGUACCGUGAGGGAAAGGCGAAAAGAACCCCGGCGAGGGGAGUGAAAAAGAACCUGAAACCGUGUACGUACAAGCAGUGGGAGCACCUUCGGGUGUGACUGCGUACCUUUUGUAUAAUGGGUCAGCGACUUAUAUUCUGUAGCAAGGUUAACCGUAUAGGGGAGCCGCAGGGAAACCGAGUCUUAACUGGGCGUUAAGUUGCAGGGUAUAGACCCGAAACCCGGUGAUCUAGCCAUGGGCAGGUUGAAGGUUGGGUAACACUAACUGGAGGACCGAACCGACUAAUGUUGAAAAAUUAGCGGAUGACUUGUGGCUGGGGGUGAAAGGCCAAUCAAACCGGGAGAUAGCUGGUUCUCCCCGAAAGCUAUUUAGGUAGCGCCUCGUGAAUUCAUCUUCGGGGGUAGAGCACUGUUUCGGCUAGGGGGUCAUCCCGACUUACCAACCCGAUGCAAACUACGAAUACCGAAGAAUGUUAUCACGGGAGACACACGGCGGGUGCUAACGUCCGUCGUGAAGAGGGAAACAACCCAGACCGCCAGCUAAGGUCCCAAAGUCAUGGUUAAGUGGGAAACGAUGUGGGAAGGCACAGACAGCCAGGAUGUUGGCUUAGAAGCAGCCAUCAUUUAAAGAAAGCGUAAUAGCUCACUGGUCGAGUCGGCCUGCGCGGAAGAUGUAACGGGGCUAAACCAUGCACCGAAGCUGCGGCAGCGACACUAUGUGUUGUUGGGUAGGGGAGCGUUCUGUAAGCCUGCGAAGGUGACCUGUGAGGGUUGCUGGAGGUAUCAGAAGUGCGAAUGCUGACAUAAGUAACGAUAAAGCGGGUGAAAAGCCCGCUCGCCGGAAGACCAAGGGUUCCUGUCCAACGUUAAUCGGGGCAGGGUGAGUCGACCCCUAAGGCGAGGCCGAAAGGCGUAGUCGAUGGGAAACAGGUUAAUAUUCCUGUACUUGGUGUUACUGCGAAGGGGGGACGGAGAAGGCUAUGUUAGCCGGGCGACGGUUGUCCCGGUUUAAGCAUGUAGGCUGGUUAUCCAGGCAAAUCCGGAUAAUCAAGGCUGAGGUGUGAUGACGAGGCACUACGGUGCUGAAGUAACAAAUGCCCUGCUUCCAGGAAAAGCCUCUAAGCAUCAGGUAACAUCAAAUCGUACCCCAAACCGACACAGGUGGUCAGGUAGAGAAUACCAAGGCGCUUGAGAGAACUCGGGUGAAGGAACUAGGCAAAAUGGUGCCGUAACUUCGGGAGAAGGCACGCUGGUGUGUAGGUGAAGUCCCUGCGGAUGGAGCUGAGACCAGUCGAAGAUACCAGCUGGCUGCAACUGUUUAUUAAAAACACAGCACUGUGCAAACACGAAAGUGGACGUAUACGGUGUGACGCCUGCCCGGUGCCGGAAGGUUAAUUGAUGGGGUUAUCCGUAAGGAGAAGCUCUUGAUCGAAGCCCCGGUAAACGGCGGCCGUAACUAUAACGGUCCUAAGGUAGCGAAAUUCCUUGUCGGGUAAGUUCCGACCUGCACGAAUGGCGUAAUGAUGGCCAGGCUGUCUCCACCCGAGACUCAGUGAAAUUGAACUCGCUGUGAAGAUGCAGUGUACCCGCGGCAAGACGGAAAGACCCCGUGAACCUUUACUAUAGCUUGACACUGAACAUUGAGCCUUGAUGUGUAGGAUAGGUGGGAGGCUUUGAAGCGUGGACGCCAGUCUGCGUGGAGCCAACCUUGAAAUACCACCCUUUAAUGUUUGAUGUUCUAACGUUGGCCCCUGACCGGGGUUGCGGACAGUGUCUGGUGGGUAGUUUGACUGGGGCGGUCUCCUCCCAAAGCGUAACGGAGGAGCACGAAGGUUAGCUAAUCCUGGUCGGACAUCAGGAGGUUAGUGCAAUGGCAUAAGCUAGCUUGACUGCGAGCGUGACGGCGCGAGCAGGUGCGAAAGCAGGUCAUAGUGAUCCGGUGGUUCUGAAUGGAAGGGCCAUCGCUCAACGGAUAAAAGGUACUCCGGGGAUAACAGGCUGAUACCGCCCAAGAGUUCAUAUCGACGGCGGUGUUUGGCACCUCGAUGUCGGCUCAUCACAUCCUGGGGCUGAAGUAGGUCCCAAGGGUAUGGCUGUUCGCCAUUUAAAGUGGUACGCGAGCUGGGUUUAGAACGUCGUGAGACAGUUCGGUCCCUAUCUGCCGUGGGCGCUGGAGAAUUGAGGGGGGCUGCUCCUAGUACGAGAGGACCGGAGUGGACGCAUCACUGGUGUUCGGGUUGUCAUGCCAAUGGCACUGCCCGGUAGCUAAAUGCGGAAGAGAUAAGUGCUGAAAGCAUCUAAGCACGAAACUUGCCCCGAGAUGAGUUCU